GGCGGUGUAGCUCAGCCUGGUUAGAGCGCUACAAUAAUCGUGGCGAGGCUCAUAUGUUUGAGCGAUGACCGAAAGGGAUGAUUGACUCAAAAUCUAACUGGGUUACGUAGGCGUCGCGUGUUCAAAUCACGCCACCGCCA
rnacentral:tRNA from 1 species